AGGCUUUCCUCCUCUUCUCCUGCCCCUGCCCCUCUUCUCCCGCUGCUGGAGCUGGACGCUGCCCGCCUGUUCCCUGGACCUAGGCCGGACUGGGUGGUGCAGAUGGAGGACUACCUGGAGGAGCGCAAGAAGGACUGGGAGGACAGGACAAGGUCAAGUGAGCCACAGAGGCCAUUUGCUCCCCAAAGACACAAGUACUCCUUUUAUUUUAAGAACUGAUCCUCUUUCUGUUUGUGUUUCAGUCACAGAAGAGGAUCUGGAGUCUUGCUGUUAAGGGUGACACAUCACUUGUUAAACAGCAAAUGCAAACAACAAAACAAAAAAACAUUAUUAUUAUGCUGUACAUAGUUUGGUGUGAACAAUUUUUAAAUAGGUUUUGUGUGGUGUAAUUUUUAUGUUGUAAAUAGUUUGUUGUGUGUUUUAAUGUGAACAUUUUUAAAUAGGUUUGUGUGGUGUAAUUUUUUAUGUUGUAAAUAGUUUGCUGUGUGUUUCAGUGUGAACAUUUUUAGAUAGGUUUUGUGUGGUGUAAUUUUUAUGUUGUAAAUAGUUUGCUGUGUGUUUUAAUGUGAACAUUUUUAAAUAGGUUUUGUGUGGUGUAAUUUUUAUGUUGUAAAUAGUUUGCUGUGUGUUUUAGUGUGAACAUUUUUAGAUUUCAUUUUAAGCUCCUUAGCUAGGCUCUUGCACCUUCUCCAUGGAUAAAGGAAAAACAAACAGUGGGAAAACAUGAAAAGGGAUGAGGAAAAUGUUGGAGUGAUAAAACAAUAUACAGUACAGUGAGAUGGGCCUUUACAGUGCAGACUGUGGAGAGGAGGAGUGGAGGAGGAGGAGGCUUAAAUCCAUAUUGUCAUACAAAAUACAGGUACACUGGAGACGAGUAUGAAUUGUAUUUGUCCCUCCUCCGACUAUAUUGUACAUUUGCACUUGGUUUUCAUAGGGACAGAAAUGGGACACGUGUCAAAGCAAAGAAGCCAAUGUGAAAAGAACACAAGAUCAUACAGUAUGUCUGGCUCUUUUGGACAUUUGAGGAUUCAGUGGGAAAUCAAGAUAUGCACAGGGCCUCUUGUUCCAGAGCCCUCCCCGAGGUCCGGGCUGGGUCUGGAGGGCUGCUGAGGUCCUGGGGUGGGACUGUCGCGUGUCCAGCUCAAGAGACAAAGCACCAUGGCCUGUGUUCUCUCCAUGCUUCUCCACGACGACCCGUGUGCUGUGCACCAACCUGCAGGAAACACCUCUGAUGUCCCCUGUAUCCCCGAGUAACAGCCCCUCAAAGUGACAAAAAAAGAAUAUACAGUACAGUGAGAUGGAACUUUAGACUGCAGGCUGUGGAGAGGAGGAGGAUUCUAUCCAUGUUAUACAAAAUACAGAGUCUGCCUGAGGUCCAGGCUCAGGUCGUGUGUCCAGCUCAAGAGACAAAGCACCAUGGCCUAUGUGCUCUAUAUUCUGCAUGAGGACCUGUGUGCUGUCCACCAACCUGCAGGAAACACCUCUGAUGUCCCCUGUAUUCUAGAGGAACAGUCUCCGAAGCAACACUGAACCGAAACAACACGUGUGGCAACUGAAUGACAGCACACAUUUUUCCUGUUGUUUGGGACUUAAAAACAGGACUGUAUGACAAAUAUAUUGGACAAAAUGCUUCCAACAUUAGGCAAGUGUGAUCCUGCAGAAAGAGAGGAGGGAGGGAAAACACUGAAGGUAACAAAAGCAAAGAAUAUUUAGUAGAGUGAGAUGAACCUUACAGUGGGGGCUGUGGAGAGGAGGAGUGGAGGAAGGAGGCUUAUAUCCAUGUUGUCGUACAAAAUACAGGUCCAGGCUGGGUCAGGAAGGAGGCUGGUGUCCUGAGGUGGGACUUCAGUGUGACUAACUCACAACAGUGAGAUAGUACUGUGGAGAGGAGGAGGGGAGGAAGGAGGCUUAUAUCCAUGUAUCUUAUAUCCAGGGACAGAAAUGGAAGGCCACUGCCAAACGUGUCAGUGAUAUUCAGGCUUUAUCGGUGCCUCUGUCUUGUAUGCGAUUCAGCUCUAUUAAUCUCCGAGUGACCCUGCACCCCAUUUCGGCCUUUAUUGCAAAACUGGCUGACGCCUGUAAGUGGAUGUGGACACUUUUCAGCCACCUUCCCACACUUCUGCUGAGCAACAGCAUUCACACAGGUUGUGCCCUGUCCGAGCGGCGCAUGGCAUCCUUUACCAACACUGUAAUGCUACACAACACAGUGAACACAAGGCCCUGGGAAACCUGAACAUUUUCCUUAAACACCAUAAUAUUCAGGAGUAGGACCAAGCCUCAACCUCCCCCUGCUCCUCUCCAGCAAACCAAGCUCAGCUCAACCACACCUUCAAUUACCCAAAAGCCCUAUUUAUACAGGCCUAUCCCAACAACACCGCCUGUCUCUGCUCUCUCGACCCCCCUCCCUCCCACCCCGUACCUCUCGUUCAUCCUUCAGCCUGAAGACCUCAUAAUCUACAAAGGGAGGGUCCUAAAUCGGUCCGGCUGACCACCUGAGACAGAGCCCCCAUCCAGAGUCUCCUCCCAGCCAUCACAUCUCGCCAUCGUCAAGAAAUAUCUUUACCAUAUUCCAUUGUUGUGACGUGGUCCUUGCUAGUGAAAUACAACUGUGUGUCUGAAUAUGAAGACUUUCUGUCUGAUAUUAAGUCACGUGUCAACCGCCCCAGCCUAAACUUGACCUCAACAAGCUGAUAAGA